rnacentral:tRNA from 1 species
GCGGGUAUAGCUCAAUGGUAGAGCACUAGCCUUCCAAGCUAGUGAUGCGGGUUCGAUCCCCGCUACCCGCUCCA